GUCAUCCAUCUGGCAUGCUUAAUGCAAAGCUUUUAACCUUUGUGAGGUACUGUAUUAAAUAAAAUGGACAGCUGUUCACUUCACACACACAUAUUCAUAUUCUCUGCGUCACGGUGCCAUGAUAAUCAUCAUUAUUACAUUUCAUCUCACAGCCCCUGCUUGGCUUUUUAAAGUUGUAUAUCAGGAUUGAGACAAUGGUGACGUGACCACUUUUCAAUUAACAGCCAUCCUGUUUUUUGUUUUUUUUUCCAGUUGUCUCUGCUGUGAAUACACAGCACAGUUUUUUUUUUAAUGAAUGUGAACAGCGGACUCCCAGGUGACCUGCUGCUGCUGUGAAGUGAUAAUGGAAAAGGGCGGAUACUUUGUCCAGGCUGCAGGUUCAUCCGUUUUAUAAUAUUAUUCAUUCAGUGAUGAAUCUUAUCCCGGCGAGCGAAACAGACUCAAUGCAUGUCCGGUCAGCAUGUAGAGAAUGAAGAUGCAGAGCUACACAUGCUGACUCUUUGAACCUGGAGAUGAUUGGCGAGUUUGCACCUGCGCGGGACUCUGGCAACAACACCUUUUGGGAGGAAUACACCGACGUCGCCUUUGUGAUGGCAAACAGCUUGAUCCUGGUGAUCACUUCUGUCGUGGGGAUUGCAGCAAAUAUUUUUGUGAUAUUGGCAGUUUAUCACCAAAAGUCACUGCAAACGUGGAAUAACGCGCUGGUGGUGAAUCUGGCAGUUAUAGACAUACUGAGAUGUUUGAUUGACUGCCCCAUUCUGUUGACCAUCGUCAUGACUGUGUACCAAAGGAGACAUGUGGACGGGUUGAUCUGUGACACACAAGUGGCCUCUUUCUCUUUCAGCUGCUGCAUACAGCUCCUGACGCUGGCUUGUAUAAGCGCUGAAAGAUACCAGGCCGUUGCACAGCCCUUCAAAACCAGUCAAAGGCGAAUACGGGUGAUGGUCCUGAUUCCUGUCACGUGGACUACGGCUUUCGUGGUGGCUGUUUUUUGUCUGAUGUUUGUGAAGGACUCACCUGUGCAUGUGAAAUGCAAAGGACUACAGAGAGAAACAUCACCCUCCUAUGACACCUUUGGACUUUACAUGUUGUUCCCGCUCUGGGCAGCUUGCUUUGGUGCCAUCAUUGGAUUUUACACUCGCAUAUUUGCCCUUGUCCGAUCACAUAAUCGCAAAAUUUUUGACAAAGGCACUCUCCCGCCUUCAAAAAAGGACAAAACAGAAGAUGAGCUGAAGACAGAAAAAAACACGGUUGUACAAAGUGGACAAAACCAGACCUUGAGCAGGAAUGUUGCUGAAGUGGAAGAAGUGACGAAAGCUGAACCUGACUCAUCCAAGAAAGAUUCAACAGCUGCUCUGCUGACCUCAACAAAAGCGCUGCAAUGUGUCUCCCUCGGUUCAGAGAAUAAAACAGAAUUAAAAAGUACUGUGGAGAUAACUGACUUGGAAACAGAACAACCCUGCCCUGCUGCAAUGCAGGCUGCAGAGCAGACCGACGAGAAGCCUUUGACAACAGAGCCGUCCAAUCCCUGUGCCAAGAAAGUUGAAUCAAAACCAUCAAAUGGAGAUGCUGUCGCUAGUGUUAGGAGCUCAAGCACAAAGCCACAGAAGGUGUCGUGCAAUUUCGACACAGAAAAGCAGUCCAAAGUGCGAGUGAAAAUCGACAAAGCACUCUCUGAAAUGAAAGAGAGUGGCCCUCAUGAAAACCCUGAGUCCACUUCUGUUUUACUGAUUGAGCCAAAACCCCCUAAAAGCAACAAUGGAGGGGGAGCGCUGCCUGUUGAUACAGUGGCUCAAGUGUCUUCAUUACCUGCACCCUCGAGUAAUGUCCCCGAAGCAGAUGCUACGAAAAGCAUCGGGCAGGUUGAAGGCGCCGUGUGCAUGAUGCCUUCAAAAGCAAGUAGAGAGAGAGCGAGCAAGAAGAAGGAGAGCAGAAUGGCAAAGCGCGCUGGCUACAUAAUUGUGUCUUUCCUCUUGUUCUGGCUGCCACUGAUCACGACCAUCCUGGUGAAUUUUGUCGUGCACAAAAGCAAAAACACACAGAUAGCAAUCAUUUGGGACGUGGAGAUUCUGUCGGUGUCUGUCGCCUGCAUCACGUCACUGAGCGACCCGAUAAUAUACGCUGCGGUGAACCCUCAGUUUCGGACAGAGUUCUACAGGCUUAAAAGCAGGGUUGAAUCCAUAUUUAAUAAGAAGUGA
rnacentral:lncRNA from 1 species